CGCGAGAAGACAAAGGCGCUCGCAGUGGAAUCGGGGCGGAAGUGGGAAGUGACCCGAAACUCAAGGCCCCAAGAAGCAGGUCUGAGCACAGUCUGGACUCUGCUGAACCGACCGGGAAACAGUUCUGGCAACUCUUCAAGAACAAAAGGUCAUGGUGAAUCUAAAUAUUUCUUCUUAAGGCUGGAGACUCACAUAUUGUUUGAUUUCUUGGUGUACUGAACCAAAGUCAUGGACCCAGGAUAAGGAAGAGAAUGAAUUUAGAGACGAAGUAGGGAAGGACAAACAAUACAUGUUAAUAGUUUCAUAAGAAUAUGUCUCAUACCUACACUGGCCCAAUAUAUUAUGAUAGAACCCAAGCAAGACCAUUUGGAAUAAAAAGUUUCUCAAAAACCACUGUCAAGGAACUUCCCUGGUGGUCCAGUGGUUAAGAAACCACCUUCCAAUGCAGCGGACAUGGAUUCAAUCCCUGUUCUGGAAAGUAAGAUUUCACACGCUGAGGGGCAACUAAACCUGUGCGGCUGCAACUACUGAGCCCGUGGGCCGCAACUAGAGAGCCCACGUGCCACAGCUGUGGAGCUCAGUGCUCUGGAUCACAACUAGAGAGCCCACUUGCCACAGCUGUGGAGCUCACGUGCUCUGGACUGCACACCAAAGCUAGGGAGAAGACCACAUGCCACAACCAAGACCUGAUGCAGUUGUAAAUAAGUAAAUAAAGAAACUAAGAUCCAGAAAUUCUAUCAAAAUGCACUUCUGAGGGCUGCUGGAGUGCAAAGCUUCCAGAACACACUGAAAGAAGGCUGUAAGUUGUGAAAUGAAAAAGUAAGUUUCCAUAUGUGUGAAAACAGUAUCUCACCGAGUCUUACAACAAGAGAACAAUUUCCCCCUGAAUUUGUGUGUAUUUAUUCUUUACACAAUUGUCCCAUUUCAGUGACAGUGUAUAUUACUCAGUUCUUUCUCCAGGUAGCUAUUUCAGUUUGAUUUCCUUUUUGCAAACCUGAUGCAUGUUGGUGUAAUAAUUACCGUGUUUUUUUUACCACUAUCUCUCAAAUGCCUGAAGAACAAUAAUAGUUCUCUGUGCCUCAGGGAGGCAUCCAGCUGAUAGCUGACGUUUGUUGAAGAAUCAUGUUACUUUUAGGCCAGCAUCUAAGUGGAUAACAAGUAGCAUAUCUCAUUCCUGGAACCAGUGAACAUUAUUCACAAAUCUUUCUGUUACUUUCAGACAAUAUUAAUAGUAUAAAAAAUAUAUUAUCUUCUAUUUAUGUUAUUCAUCAAAAAAGUUAAUACUAUGAUGUUUACUGCCCUUAGAAAUUUAAUAUCUAUACUAUAUGCUGAAAUUUAUCAAAUUCUAUAUUGUUAUGCUGAUAUAUUAUGCAGCAUUAAAGAGUUUAAAGAAUUUUAUCUCACUUGUGAUCUGAAAUCUAGGUAGAGAAAAUCAGUUCUUUACUGUCUUCAUAACACAGGGAAGACUAUAAAUUUUAGUAUGUAUGAGUUCAGAGCUUCCCAGGUGGCACAGUGGUAAAGGAUCUGCCUGUCAAUGCAGGAGAGGCGGGUUUGAUCCCUGUGGGGAAGACCCCCUGGAGAAGGAAAUGGCAACCCACUCCAGUCUGCUUGUCUGGGAAAUCCCAUGGAUAGAGGAGCUAGGUGGGCUUUAGUUCAUGGGGCUGCAAAGAGUCAGACACAACUGAGGGACUAAACAAUAACACAUAUGAGUUCUACCCAACAGGAGUUGAUUACUUUUGAAAUUGCUUUAACCUUCAUCUAUGAAAUAAUGGAAAACUUUUCACAGUUUCUAUACUACCCAGAUUAUAACUAGUUUAGGCAAUAAAACAACUGCACAUAAGCUCUGGUACAGCUGUGACCUUAGUAUUAUGCCAAAGACCACACCGUAAUGAGUGUUAGAACUGAGAAGCCAGUUGAGAGGUUCUGGUUAUAAGGCUGGUGGGCAAUGUUCAUGCCAGGAGUGCCUUCCAGCUUGCAGUUGUCUUGUAAAGUUCCAGAAACUGUCAGUUUCUGGGCAAGAAGAAGAUGGUUCCCCUACUAUAGGCAGUUGAGGCCAGUGUCUUGUAGGGAUCACCCAGAGUCUCCAACACAUUCUCCCUAGGGGAACCACAAAAAUUACUCAACAGACUUUAUGGAAAACAUUAUUUUGUCUCAGGCACAAUGCCUGGCUCUGAGGGCACAGACAUAAAGACAUAGUCCCUGCCAAGAGGAACUCUCUGUUGAGAUGGGACGUUGAAUUGUAAAAUGACAUCAGAAUGACAACAUCCUGUAAGAAGUACUCCAAUUAAGUGUGAUGACCACAAACAAAAGAUGCACCAGCUCUGCCUGAAGGCACCAGCCAGCACUUUACAGAGGAGGGAACAUCAGACCAGGGGCAGAUAGAUGCACCCUUAUUAGAAACAGGGAACCAUCUUUUCAAAUAUUGACAACAGAAUUUUUAAGGAGUCAAAAGGGAACAUGUUUCCUUUGAAGAAGACUUCAUAGCCCAGGUAGCGGAAGCAAACAUUAUACUUGAUACAAUGUAUGUAUCAAGCGUAUAUUGAUUUUUUGUUGCCAGCAUCUGAUUCCACUUGUUAUAGCCAGCCUCUCCAUAUGAUGCUGAAAAGUAUGCCUCUUGUUUUUGCUUCCUUUCCUACUUGCCCCUUUUCUUGGCAGAGAACGGAUAUCUGACUUCGGCUCUGCCAGCCGGAUGGAGCAAGAGAAGCAGAAAAACACAUUGCGUGGAGAAUCUUUGUGGUGUCACCAGCAUCACUGGGGCUGCAGUUUCCAGAGGCAGUGGCUGUGGAGCCAGUGCCACACCCAGUGUCCAGAGAGAGCUGCAGAGGUGGCUCAAAGCACGAGACCAUGUUUUACGGUGGCAGGAAUGGCAGCCUCAACCCCCUUGGCUGUGUAGUCUGCUUUGGGCUGUAAUUUUUCUGCUUCGUCUCCCUUUCUUUCUGCCUUUUCCGAGUCUGGUUCCUCCACCCAAAAUGUUUGUAAACUCCUCAAUAUAUCCUGUCAUAAAUACCUUUCCUGUUUUA